rnacentral:rRNA from 1 species
ACGGAAGGCAGCACUGGGGAAUAUUGCACAAUGGGGGGAACCCUGAUGCAGCGACGCCGCGUGAGGGAAGAAGGUUUUCGGAUUGUAACCCUCUGUCCUUGGUGACGAUAAUGACGGUAGCCAAGGAGGAAGCCACGGCUAACUACGUGCCAGCAGCCGCGGUAAUACGUAGGUGGCAAGCGUUGUCCGGAAUUACUGGGUGUAAAGGGAGCGUAGGCGGGAAAGCAAGUUGGGAGUGAAAUGUAUGGGCUCAACCCAUAAACUGCUUUCAAAACUGUUUUUCUUGAGUGAAGUAGAGGCAGGCGGAAUUCCUAGUGUAGCGGUGAAAUGCGUAAAUAUUAGGAGGAACACCAGUGGCGAAGGCGGCCUGCUGGGCUUUAACUGACGCUGAGGCUCGAAUGCGUGGGUAGCAAACAGGAUUAGAUACCCUGGUA